UACGUAGGGUGCAAGCGUUGUCCGGAAUUAUUGGGCGUAAAGAGCUCGUAGGCGGUUUGUCGCGUCUGCUGUGAAAACUCAGGGCUUAACCCUGAGCCUGCAGUGGGUACGGGCAGGACUAGAGUGUGGUAGGGGAGAUCGGAAUUCCUGGUGUAGCGGUGGAAUGCGCAGAUAUCAGGAGGAACACCGGUGGCGAAGGCGGAUCUCUGGGCCAUAACUGACGCUGAGGAGCGAAAGCAUGGGGAGCGAACAGG
rnacentral:rRNA from 1 species